GGGUGGAAGGCUCCUGUCGGUUGCGGGGCGCCUGCCUGUAAAGCAGGUACAAGGAAACAUCGGGGGUUCAACUCCCUCUCCACCCA
rnacentral:tRNA from 1 species